UUUUAUGAUGAACAAUUUUUUUGCUUCGGCAAGUUGGAAUUACCGACUGAGAUCUUCUUUGAAGAAAACAACUGGCUGUUUCUGAUC
rnacentral:snoRNA from 1 species